AUGCUCGCUCUGGCAGCAGAUGCACUAAAACUGAAACACUACAGGGAAGACCCCCGUGGCCCCGGCACAAGGACAGAAAAAUCCUGAAGUGUCCCAAGUCUUU
rnacentral:snRNA from 1 species